rnacentral:miRNA from 1 species
UGAUGAUGAUGAUGAUGAUGAUGAUGAUGAUGAUGAUGAUGUAUAUUACAGCAUCUAGUAUCAUCAUGCAUCAUCAUCCUCAUCAUCCUCAUAUUUC